UUUGUUUGAAUUUCAUUUUAUUCUACUUGUAAUAUCUAUGCUCUAUGUUUGAGGUUACACUGUAAUUUUCUCUUGUAUGUCCUUUGGCUUAGGCAUCAUGCUGAUGAGAUUUCAGAGCUGUUAUUAUACAAACAUAGAUAUUAUCCACAAAAUCCACUCGAAAGAAAAAACCUCUUUAAACCAACAAUGAGAAGGGAAUUUAAACACACAUCACAUUGAUAUUUGGGGUUUAAUAUAGAUAUCAUGUGUUUGCAGAAAGUUACAAUAAGGCGCAUAGGGCACGAAAAGGAAAUCCGAUCCUCAUUAUACAGAUAUCCUUUUUCGAAUUGCCCGAUUUACAGUGCCCACCUUAUUCUCUCCACAAUCACACAGGAAUGCUCGCUUGUCCGCCUACCAAUGCAAGGGGCUUUUCCCCAACCUAUAUAUACAAGGUGCUGGUCUCGAUCUUGCUUGGCGGUGCCCCUCUCGAUGAUUGUUGACUAAACAUGGAUUUCGUGCUUGGAAAGGGUGGUGAAAGUUUCAAACUGGAUCAUGAUGGGCGUAGUUUCUUAUUAUGGUUAAAAUAGUCCUAACACCAAUGGAUCUCAGUAAAUUCAAGGGCCAGCUACAUUUUGACAUGUAUGCAAAUGCAAGCUUCAUUUCUGUUUUUGUUCAAGUUUGAUGUGUUUUAAUCUUAUUGGAAUUUUUGUUCUUAUGUCUUGUAAAUCUUCAUUAAUAUGCAUAUAUUAUAAAUCUUCUCACUUCAAAGUGGUGCUAAAUAUAAUUCCUUGUAAUCUAUCAACUUUUUCUUGUUUUAUGAACUGUUCAAAGUGCAGCAUAUAGGGACUGAUAUGAAUCUGUUUCUUCAAUUGGUCAACAAAUCUAUUUACAGACAGCUGCCAACCUCUUCAAUUGUAGACCAUCAAGUUUCUGUCCAGAUUUUCAGGGUGUGUGUUUGGGUUGUGGUAGUGCAGUUUUUUUUGUCAGUUCGGGGAGUAUCUGUCUAGUCCGAGGAGGCAUGAUAUGGAGGGUUCUUUAAGGCAUUGGAGGUAACUUUUUACAGUAGAAUUUUCUGCAUAAUACUUUCUUUAUGGAGCUGCUCCAUUGGUAGCAGAAAAUGUCCAAAUACUUGGCAGAGUAUUGUUUUUUAUGCUUUGUUUCAACAUGGUUAGUGGUUACUUGACUUGGUUUGUAAUUUAUUUUGGCUUUGUCAUUUAUAAGCCUUUAUAUUUGAAUUGGAGCCUCUUGGAAGUGUCGGUCAUUAUCCAUGGGAGGUCGGCUUGUGCUUUUAAAGUCUUCCUUGCAUGCCAUGCCUAUCUAUUUCCUGUCCUUUUUCAAGGUACCACCUUAUGAACCACAUGAGGUCAUAUCAACUCACAGAGAUAAUUUCGAUCCAAAAGGAGAAUUCAUUAGAGCCUGCUAUAAGGUGAUUCUUUUACUGUCUGUGAGUAUGUAACCUUAACCUUAAUUUGUUUAUUAUUUCAAAUGAAAAUAUAAAGAAUAUCAGCCUAAGUCCAUCAGUAUUACCAAGGUAGUAAUUAAAUUCAAGAACUGUCUAGUGCAUUUGUGUCACAUUACAAUGCUUCUUAUUUGACUCACUCAUAUUCUAAUGAGAAGAAAUUACUUUAGAAAAAUUAUAUGAUUAUAGUAUGAAUGGCAUCAAAAGUACUCAAAGCUAAAUUACCAAAUAUUGUUAUUGAAGUGAUUACUCUACUCUACUGCUAAAGUGAUACAACUCAUUGUG